CUAGGUGGAGAUGGGGCAUGAGGAUCCUCCAGGGGAAAAGCUCACUACCACUGGGCAACAACCCUAGGUCAGGAGGUUCUGUCAAGAUACUUUCCUGGUCCCAGAUAGGAAGAUAAAGUCUCAAAAACAACCACCACACGUCAAGCUCUUCAUUGUUCCUAUCUGCCAAAUCAUUAUACUUCCUACAAGCAGUGCAGAGAGCUGAGUCUUCAGCAGGUCCAAGAAAUUUGAACACACUGAAGGAAGUCAGCCUUCCCACCUGAAGAUCAACAUGCCUGGCACUCUAGCACUUGAGGAUAGCUGAAUGAAUGUGUCUUACCCAUUUCCAUGUUUCUCUUGCUAAUUUCUUUCGUGUGUGCCUUUGCCUCAUUUUCUCUUUUUGUUCACAAGAGUGGUCUGUGUCUUGUCUUAGACAUAUCUCUCAUUUUUCAUUUUGU
rnacentral:lncRNA from 1 species